rnacentral:rRNA from 1 species
UACAGAGGUCUCAAGCGUUGUUCGGAUUCAUUGGGCGUAAAGGGUGUGUAGGCGGCGCGGUAAGUCGGGUGUGAAAUCUCGGGGCUUAACUCCGAAACUGCAUUCGAUACUGCCGUGCUUGAGGACUGGAGAGGAGACUGGAAUUUACGGUGUAGCGGUGAAAUGCGUAGAUAUCUGGAGGAACACCGGUGGCGAAGGCGGCAUCCUGGACCGACACUGACACUGAGGAGCGAAAGCCAGGGGAGCAAACGGG